AAUUUUGGACAAUGGGGGCAACCCUGAUCCAGCCAUGCCGCGUGUGUGAAGAAGGCCUUCGGGUUGUAAAGCACUUUCGGACGGAACGAAAUCGCGCGGGUGAAUAUCCCGCGUGGAUGACGGUACCGUAAGAAGAAGCACCGGCUAACUACGUGCCAGCAGCCGCGGUAAUACGUAGGCAGCGAGCGUUGUUCGGAGUUACUGGGCGUAAAGCGUGCGUAGGCGGUGGUCCAAGUCUGGUGUGAAAUCUCCCGGCUCAACUGGGAGGGUGCGCCGGAAACUGGGCCGCUGGAGUACGGGAGAGGCAAGCGGAAUUCCAGGUGUAGCGGUGAAAUGCGUAGAUAUCUGGAGGAACACCCGUGGUGCAGACGGCUUGCUGGACCGUGACUGACGCUGAGGCACGAAAGCGUGGGUAGCAAAC
rnacentral:rRNA from 1 species